rnacentral:tmRNA from 1 species
GGGGCUGAUUCUGGAUUCGACGGGAUUUGCGAAACCCAAGGUGCAUGCCGAGGGGCGGUUGGCCUCGUAAAAAGCCGCAAAAAAUAGUCGCAAACGACGAAACCUACGCUUUAGCAGCUUAAUAACCUGCUUAGAGCCCUCUCUCCCUAGCCUCCGCUCUUAGGACGGGGAUCAAGAGAGGUCAAACCCAAAAGAGAUCGCGUGGAUGCCUUGCCUGGGGUUGAAGCGUUAAAACGAAUCAGGCUAGUCUGGUAGUGGCGUGUCCGUCCGCAGGUGCCAGGCGAAUGUAAAGACAGACUAAGCAUGUAGUACCGAGGAUGUAGGAAUUUCGGACGCGGGUUCAACUCCCGCCAGCUCCACCA